UACGUAGGGUGCAAGCGUUGUCCGGAAUUAUUGGGCGUAAAGAGCUUGUAGGCGGUUUGUCGCGUCUGCUGUGAAAUUUCGGGGCUCAACCCCGAACUUGCAGUGGGUACGGGCAGACUAGAGUGUGGUAGGGGAGACUGGAAUUCCUGGUGUAGCGGUGAAAUGCGCAGAUAUCAGGAGGAACACCGGUGGCGAAGGCGGUGGUCUGGGCCGGCACUGACGCUGAGGAGCGAAAGCGUGGGGAGCAAACAGG
rnacentral:rRNA from 1 species